GACGAACGCUGGCGGCGUGCCUAAUACAUGCAAGUCGAACGCAUUUUCUUUCACCGUAGCUUGCUACACCGAAAGAAAAUGAGUGGCGAACGGGUGAGUAACACGUGGGUAACCUGCCCAUCAGCGGGGGAUAACACUUGGAAACAGGUGCUAAUACCGCAUAAUUCCAUUUACCGCAUGGUAGAUGGGUGAAAGGCGCUUUUGCGUCACUGAUGGAUGUACCCGCGGUGCAUUAGCUAGUUGGUGGGGUAACGGCCUACCAAGGCUGCGAUGCAUAGCCGACCGGAGAGGGUGAUCGGCCACACUGGGACUGAGACACGGCCCAGACUGCUACGGGAGGCAGCAGUAGGGAAUCUUCGGAAAUGGACGCAAGUCUGACCGAGAAACGCCGCGUGAGUGAAGAAGGUUGUCGGAUCGUAAAACUCGGUUGUUAGAGAAGAACAAGGAUGAGAGUGGAAAGUUCAUCCCUUGACGGUAUCUAACCAGAAAGCCACGGCUAACUACGUG
rnacentral:rRNA from 1 species